UACGUAGGCAGCGAGCGUUGUUCGGAGUUACUGGGCGUAAAGGGCGCGUAGGCGGCGUGUCAAGUCAGGCGUGAAAGCCCCGGGCUCAACCUGGGAACCGCGCUUGAGACUGGCAUGCUCGAGUUCGGGAGAGGAUGGUGGAAUUCCCAGUGUAGAGGUGAAAUUCGUAGAUAUUCGGAAGAACACCAGUGGCGAAGGCGGCUCACUGGACUGGUAUUGACGCUGAGGUGCGAAAGCGUGGGGAGCAAACAGG
rnacentral:rRNA from 1 species